GCCUCUAAGAUUCAUUGAUAGGCUCGAUCGAAUUGUCGCAGACAAUAAUGAAUGUCUAAAGGAAAGGAAGAUAAACCUGUUUGUUAUAGAAACGCCUGAAGUAGAGGUGCAAGGUCGCUUUCGCCCAUUUUAUGAUAAUCUUUACACCUCCGUUAUUUAAUUUGCGAAUGUGUUCAUCUUUGGCAUUUAUAGAGUUUUAACGUUGUUGGCAAGGUCCACCAGAGAGGAGUUUUGUGCAGUUGUAAUCUAAACACUUUACUCUUCUACUAUUCUGCAAACUAAUAC